AGGCUUAUGAUGAUAACAUUAAUUAUCUUAGCGGAUUUCGGUGAGAUUUUAUAGUCAAUGAUUUUAAUGUUACACACACUAAAAGACCU